rnacentral:rRNA from 1 species
CGGACAGAGCUGGCGUAUCUGGCCUGUAUUCAGCCGUGGGCUCGCUGGCGUCAGGGAUGCCGCUCUCCAGAUUGGGACGGUGGCCUGUCUGCCGGUGGGUUUGUGGUGCAUUUGCAGGUGGAGUGCGCCGAGGCGCUCGGGUGCAGCGGCAUGAGCCCAGUUUUGAGGCCAGCCUCGCAAGAGGUCUGGUACCCGGACUGUUGGGGAGUGCUGUUUGCCCUGGGUGUACAAAAAGGGUAAUGGUCUCGGGCCCGGGUGGGCGCCGAGCUGGCAGUCGGAGGCGGUCGCAUGCGACACGUGCCAGCGGUCAGUUCGGUCCUGCUCGAGCUCACAUCUGCCCGUCCUCGGUGUAAAAGCCGGUCAUCUGUCCGACCCGUCUUGAAACACGGACCAAGGAGUUUAGCGUGUGCGCGAGUCAUUGGGCGUUGAAAACCCAAAGGCGCAAUGAAAGUGAAGGUCUCCCUUGCGGAGCUGAUGUGUGAUCCCGGGCGCUGCGGUGCCCGGGCGCAACAU